rnacentral:rRNA from 1 species
AGGUAGUUUGUAUCCGUGGCUCAGGACGAACGCUGGCGGCGUGCUUAACACAUGCAAGUCGAACGAAAGGCCCUGCUUUUGUGGGGUGCUCGAGUGGCGAACGGGUGAGUAACACGUGAGUAACCUGCCCUUGACUUUGGGAUAACUUCAGGAAACUGGGGCUAAUACCGGAUAGGAGCUCCUGCUGCAUGGUGGGGGUUGGAAAGUUUCGGCGGUUGGGGAUGGACUCGCGGCUUAUCAGCUUGUUGGUGGGGUAGUGGCUUACCAAGGCUUUGACGGGUAGCCGGCCUGAGAGGGUGACCGGCCACAUUGGGACUGAGAUACGGCUCAGACUCCUACGGGAGGCAGCAGUGGGGAAUAUUGCACAAUGGGCGGAAGCCUGAUGCAGCAACGCCGCGUGCGGGAUGACGGCCUUCGGGUUGUAAACCGCUUUCGCCUGUGACGAAGCGUGAGUGACGGUAAUGGGUAAAGAAGCACCGGCUAACUACGUG